rnacentral:rRNA from 1 species
GACAGAGGAGGCAAGCGUUAUCCGGAAUUAUUGGACGUAAAGCGUCCGUAGGUGGUUUGACAAGUCUGGGGUUAAAGCCCGGAGCCCAACUCCGGAUCGGCCCUGGAAACUGUCAGACUUGAGUGAGGUAGGGGUUGCGGGAAUUCCCGGUGUAGCGGUGAAAUGCGUAGAUAUCGGGAAGAACACCUGAGGCGAAAGCGCGCAACUGGGCCAUUACUGACACUGAGGGACGAAAGCUAGGGGAGCGAAUGGG